CCCCUACGGGAGGCAGCAGUGGGGGAUAUUGAACAAUGGGGGAAACCCUGAUGGAGCAACGCCGCGUGGGUGAAGAAGGUCUUCGGAUCGUAAAACCCUGUUGUUAGAGAAGAAAGUGCGUGAGAGUAACUGUUCACGUUUCGACGGUAUCUAACCAGAAAGCCACGGCUAACUACGUGCCAGCAGCCGCGGUAAUACGUAGGUGGCAAGCGUUAUCCGGAUUUAUUGGGCGUAAAGGGAACGCAGGCGGUCUUUUAAGUCUGAUGUGAAAGCCUUCGGCUUAACCGGAGUAGUGCAUUGGAAAC
rnacentral:rRNA from 1 species